rnacentral:rRNA from 1 species
AUAUUCUGUGAGCAGGAAAGCAGGGGAUCGCAAGACCUUGCGCUGAUUGAGCGGCCGAUAUCAGAUUAGCUUGUUGGUGAGGUAAAAGCUCACCAAGGCGACGAUCUGUAGCGGGUCUGAGAGGAUGAUCCGCCACACUGGAACUGAGACACGGUCCAGACUCCUACGGGAGGCAGCAGUGGGGAAUUUUGGACAAUGGGGGCAACCCUGAUCCAGCCAUGCCGCGUGAGUGAAGAAGGCCUUCGGGUUGUAAAGCUCUUUCAGCCGGGAAGAAAACGCAUGGGUUAAUACCCUGUGUGGAUGACGGUACCGGAAUAAGAAGCACCGGCUAACUACGUGCCAGCAGCCGCGGUAAUACGUAGGGUGCGAGCGUUAAUCGGAAUUACUGGGCGUAAAGCGUGCGCAGGCGGUUUUGUAAGACAGGCGUGAAAUCCCCGGGCUUAACCUGGGAACUGCGUUUGUGACUGCAAGGCUAGAGUACGGCAGAGGGGGGUGGAAUUCCACGUGUAGCAGUGAAAUGCGUAGAGAUGUGGAGGAACACCAAUGGCGAAGGCAGCCCCCUGGGUCGAUACUGACGCUCAUGCACGAAAGCGUGGGUAGCAAACAGGAUUAGAUACCCUGGUAGUCCACGCCCUAAACGAUGUCAACUAGGUGUUGGGAGGGUAAAACCUUUUAGUACCGGAGCUAACGCGUGAAGUUGACCGCCUGGGGAGUACGGCCGCAAGGUUAAAACUCAAAGGAAUUGACGGGGACCCGCACAAGCGGUGGAUGAUGUGGAUUAAUUCGAUGCAACGCGAAAAACCUUACCUACCCUUGACAUGCCAAGAACUUUCCAGAGAUGGAUUGGUGCCCGAAAGGGAACUUGGACACAGGUGCUGCAUGGCUGUCGUCAGCUCGUGUCGUGAGAUGUUGGGUUAAGUCCCGCAACGAGCGCAACCCUUGUCGUUAAUUGCCAUCAUUUAGUUGGGCACUUUAACGAGACUGCCGGUGACAAACCGGAGGAAGGUGGGGAUGACGUCAAGUCCUCAUGGCCCUUAUGGGUAGGGCUUCACACGUCAUACAAUGGUCGGUACAAAGGGUCGCCAAGCCGCGAGGUGGAGCCAAUCCCAGAAAGCCGAUCGUAGUCCGGAUCGCAGUCUGCAACUCGACUGCGUGAAGUCGGAAUCGCUAGUAAUCGUGGAUCAGAAUGUCACGGUGAAUACGUUCCCGGGUCUUGUACACACCGCCCGUCACACCAUGGGAGCGGGUUCCGCCAGAAGUAGGUAGCCUAACCGCAAGGAGGGCGCUUACCACGGCGGGGUUCGUGACUGGGGUGAAGUCGGAACAAGGUA